UUCCAGAUCCAGAUUUGAAGAAAAAAAUUAUGAAAAAAGUAUAUGAUUUGAUCAUAAUUUAAAUUUCAGCAUAUAUCAAUUUCAGCAUAUGAAAUAGAUCCAUGUGGUUUUAUAUUUUUUGCAUACAAAAUUUAGAUUAAAAUUAUUUUAAUCUUAUUCUUUGCUGCAGUGUUUAGAAAAUUAAGUUUUUAAAACACAUAUGCAUGCAUCAAAUCCCAAAUUUUAAUAUUUACAAGAAGAUCAGUAGGAGUGCUGUCACGUUCCUCGUAUUGUAUAUAGAUGACAUCCUCCUAAUUGGGAAUGAUAUUUCCAUGAUGAUUUUAGUUAAGGUUUAGUUAUCGAAAGAGUUCUCCAUGAA
rnacentral:lncRNA from 1 species